GAACGCUGGCGGCGUGCCUAACACAUGCAAGUCGAGCGAGAUGCUUCUGAUAGAUUCUUCGGAUGAUAGAUGAAGCGGAAAGCGGCGGACGGGUGAGUAACGCGUAGGCAACCUGCCCUUUGCAGAGGGAUAGCCAUUGGAAACGAUGAUUAAAACCUCAUAAUGCCAGACUGAGACAUCUCUAACUGGCCAAAGAUUUAUCGGCAAAGGAUGGGCCUGCGUCUGAUUAGCUAGUUGGUGGGGUAACGGCCUACCAAGGCGACGAUCAGUAGCCGACCUGAGAGGGUGAUCGGCCACAUUAGAACUGAGACACGGUCCAAACUCCUACGGGAGGCAGCAGUGGGGAAUAUUGCACAAUGGGCGAAAGCCUGAUGCAGCAACGCCGCGUGAAGGAAGAAGGUCUUCGGAUCGUAAACUUCUGUCCUUAGGGAAGAUAAUGACGGUACCUUUGGAGGAAGCCCCGGCUAACUACGUG
rnacentral:rRNA from 1 species